rnacentral:tRNA from 1 species
GCCUGGGUGGCUCAGUCGUUUAAGCAUCUGACUUCAGCUCAGGUCACAAUCUAGCGGUUCGUGAGUCUGAGCCUCGCAUCAGGCU